GACGAACGCUGGCGGCGUGCUUAACACAUGCAAGUCGAACGAGUGGCGAACGGGUGAGUAAUACGUGGGUAACCUGCCCUCUUUUUGGGAUAAGCCUUGGAAACGGGGUCUAAUACCGAAUAAAGGGGGAUGGGCUCGUGGCCUAUCAGCUUGUUGGUGGGGUGAUGGCCGACGAAGGCGGUGACGGGUAGCCGGCCUGGGAGGGGGACCGGCAAUAUUGGGACUGAGAGACGGCCCAGAGUCCUACGGGAGGCAGCAGUGGGGGAUAUUGCACAAUGGUGGAAAGCCUGAUGCACGUGCGCCGCGGGGGGGAUGAAGUCGUUCGGGUUGUAAACCUCUUUCGCAAGCGAACGGGUAGGUGGAGAAGAAGCGCCGGCUAACUACGUGCCAGCAGCCGCGGUAAUUC
rnacentral:rRNA from 1 species